rnacentral:tRNA from 1 species
GGAGGAUACAGCUCAGUGGUAGAGCACAUGCUUAGCAUGCAUGAGGUCCUGGGUUCAAUACCCAGUACCUCCA